AUGAGGAAGAAAACUGCAGAGAAAUUUCCUACACUUGAAAACAGUAAAAGUAAUUUUGCAGUGACCCUCACUUGUGCCUAUUUUUUGUCUUUCCCAACAGGGAUAAGAGUGGAGAUGCAGGUGGAGCAGAGUCCCGGGGUCCUGAUCUUACAGGAGGGGAGAAAUUCCUCUCUGACGUGCAAUACUUCUGUCGCCAUGGCCGGUGUGCAGUGGUUCCAACAAAAUCCUGGAGGACGUCUCAUAUUCCUGUUUUAUAUAGCUUCAGGAGUACAACAAAAAGGAAGAUUAGAAGCCACAGUCAGUACCAAGGAACGUUAUAGCCACUUAUACAUCAGAGACUCCCAGCCUGGGGACUCAGCCACUUUCUUCUGUGCUGUAGAAGCACAGUGCCCUUAA